rnacentral:rRNA from 1 species
UUCCAGCAUCUUGAAGAUAAGAUCGCGGGCAAGCUCCCUUCUUGGCAAGGGAGACAUGUGGCUGCUGCAGGCCGAACGGUUCUUGUCAAGGCUGUCCUAUCGGCCAUCGCAAUAUAUCAUCUCACUCCUCUUGACAUACUGGUGGAGGUCCUUCAGAAAAUUGAUAGCAUCCGCCGUGCAUAUCUUUGGGCGGGCACGGACAAGGUUUCUGGAGGGAAAUGCAAGGUAAACUGGGACCUCGCUUGCAAACCAAAGAAUAAGGGCGGCUUGGGAGUGCUUAAUCUGAACAAAUUUGCUAGGGCCCUGAGACUUCGGUGGUUAUGGUUUGAGUGGAAAGAUAAGAGCAAGCCAUGGAUUGGCAUGGGACUGCCGUGCACAGAUGACGACCGUCAUUUCUUUGCGGCGGCCACUACAGUCACUGUUGGAAAUGGAAGGACAGUGAGGUUCUGGAACUCAUCUUGGCUAAGAGGAUUGUGCCCCUGUGACAUAGCUCCCGGUCUCUACAACCUCUCUCGCAAGAAAAACUCCUCGGUUCAGCAAGCUAUGGCCAGCAAUCAAUGGAUUGCGAAUAUUGACAGCUCUAAUGGCCUCUCCCUUGAACACAUCCAACAGUUUGCUAACCUUUGGGACAAACUAGCAACAGUGGCCCUCGAUGACGACAUUGAAGACUCAAUUAUUUGGAAGUUCACCAAAGAUGGGAGAUAUUCUGCAUCCUCGGCUUACAAGGCUCAAUUUGAAGGCCUCACCACCUCGGACCUUGUCCAUUCGGUGUGGACGGUGUGGGCGCCCCCUCGGUGCAAGUUUUUUGCUUGA